GGAACCCCUCUUUGCCCCAGUUUUGGCCAAGUAUCUUCUACACCACCUUCAGGUCUAAGUGCAACAGAAAAUACACCUUUCUCAGGAAAGACAUUUAUUGUUCACUCAUAACUCUAUCUUUAAUAGACAUAUCCAAUAGAAUAUACAGUUUGCAAGAUUAAAAACAAGGUUUAUAUUGCUUCAUAAGGAGCAAGCACAUUUUUGAAGCACAGGUGAUGAAGAAGACAUGCCAACAGAGGGUUAAUUCCAGAUAAAAUGAAAUGUUCCAAACAGUACGUUUGGUUAUUUGAUUCAUCUGUGGGGGAAGGAAAGAUAAUUUUCCAAAGGACAUUCCUCCUAAAUUCUGUCUUAAAGUUGUUUACGGAAUGAAGUUGAUAAUAGUGAGACCUUGUUGGUACAAGACUAUGUAACAUAACCUGCGCUUCUCAACAAAGAAUUGCUUUUCUGACUUCUGCACUCAAUAGCAAGACAAAUCUCUCCUCUGCCUUCUCCUUAUCAGACUACUCAACAUGAAGGCAAUAAGAAUGAAGACCUCUAUGUAUAAUAAUUGACUUCCACUUAAUAAAUAAGGUUACUUGGUACACUGGUCGACAAAACCUUGAAAUGUUGAUGUUUAAGGGCUGUUGAUUGCUGGCAGCAAAGAAGUCCAACUGUGCUGGUACCCGAGAUAGCGUCUCCACAUUUUCUUCCAGGAUCAUCACCUUUGUUCUAAAUAGCUCCCACAUAGUGUGAACAGAAGUCAUAUGUUUUAGAUUUUCUGCCUUGGCACCCAGG
rnacentral:lncRNA from 10 species